GUGGAUUAGAUACCCUGGUAGUCCACGCCCUAAACGAUGUCUACUAGUUGUCGGGUCUUAAUUGACUUGGUAACGCAGCUAACGCGUGAAGUAGACCGCCUGGGGAGUACGGUCGCAAGAUUAAAACUCAAAGGAAUUGACGGGGACCCGCACAAGCGGUGGAUGAUGUGGAUUAAUUCGAUGCAACGCGAAAAACCUUACCUACCCUUGACAUGGCAGGAAUCCUGAAGAGAUUUAGGAGUGCUCGCAAGAGAACCUGCACACAGGUGCUGCACGGUCGUCGUCAGCU
rnacentral:rRNA from 1 species